UACAGAGGGGGCAAGCGUUGUUCGGAAUUACUGGGCGUAAAGGGCGCGUAGGCGGCCGCCUAAGUCAGACGUGAAAUCCCUCGGCUCAACCGGGGAACUGCGUCUGAUACUGGAUGGCUGGAGUUCGGGAGAGGGAUGCGGAAUUCCAGGUGUAGCGGUGAAAUGCGUAGAUAUCUGGAGGAACACCGGUGGCGAAGGCGGCAUCCUGGACCGACACUGACGCUGAGGAGCGAAAGCCAGGGGAGCAAACGGG
rnacentral:rRNA from 1 species